CUGAGAUCAGUGAGACUGGUGAACAGGAGAGAGAAAUAGUUUUUCAUUAUAGUUUCAAGACUGUGGACAUCUCUUCCAGGUUUAUAGCUUGCCCUGCCCAAAAGGCAUUGGCAGGUUACAAAAGGAGUGUGGAUCUCAUGAAUCAACCUUAAUGUCAAAGGCGUGUGGGACAGAGAAAGAGGCCGAACUGCCCUACUUUGAACAACUUUCUCCUGCAGCUGUUGACAGAGCCAUGGUUAAAAUUUUCCUGCAGAGGCCAAGAAAACAAGGAGAUGUAAAAUGAAGGACUAUGUCGAGAAGAGUAUGGGGAGUAAUGGUAAUAUUACUAAAAAUAUUUUAGUUUGCAUUCUUUAGUUUGCAUUUUUUCAUAUACUUUUUAACUGCAAGACAUCCAUAGUAUUUUGGUGCAUCAACUAUGAACAGCCAUCUUAAAGCCUGAUCUGAUCUUCUGAUGCUGAACUACUAGUUGUCUCUAUAGCAAUCCCUUAGGCCCACCUUCUCUGAAGUUUAUGUUUGUUUGGUUCACUUCCACCUGAUAUGCAGUGUGAGUAGUAUUCUGCUCUGACUUAUGCAGCUUAUGCAGAAAAAAAUGUUCUCUGCUUUUUCCUCUUGCUGCACAAAUAAAACAUUUGUUAUAAAACAGAACUUCCAAAGCCAUGUAGAAUAUUUAAAGCAAGUUAAGGAGCAAAAGCCAUGGGAGGGCUUCUGGAUUUACAGAGAAAUGCAGGAAUACCUUCUUGCCUUUGUAAAACAGAUUUUCACUAGUAAAGGAAGAACAUAGCUUUGACUCUCAGGAUGCCAGGAACCUAAUGCUGCAACAUAUUCAGUAUUUGGCUUUGAAUGAGUAGCCAAUAUUCAGAUAAGUUAAACAUGCUCAGGAAGUUCGUAUGAUGAAAUGGAAACUUGAAGCUUGUGUACAUGUGAAUAGGAGAGUAGUUUCAAUGGUGAUUCUGUAAUGCAGUUUCAUCAACACCUAUACCAUGAUCCUGAGCAGGUUAUGCCAAAGUAAAUCCUACUGAGUACUUUUUCUUGAUACAAAAGGAUUAGGACUGCACCCACAGUGCUCAGAUUACAUUCUCCAGAUUAGGCCCUCUGGGAGUCUUGUGAAUCUGAGCCUUGAUGUACUAUGCAUCAUUGUCAACUCAGCUCAAAGUAUUUAGCCAUGAACUAAAAACAGAUAGGUUUCCCUACAGAUUCUCCUGAGAAUCAGCAAUAGCAGUACAAAUAACCUUAUAUUUUUCAUUCAUAAAAAGUCUAUCAGUAUGAUAUAUCAUCUCCAGUCCCCUGGCUGUGCUGCAUACAGUACGAUAAAUAGAUGAAAGCCAAGCUUCUUUAUUGGAUCCAGAUUAUGUCCAAAAGUGAAGUUACUGGCUUGUGAAUGAGAAGCUGCAAUAGUCCUGCUGGUGGUGGCUAAAGACCAAACUUAGAUGGGCAGAUCAAUUUGUUUAAAUUGGUUGGCUCCAAAUAUGCAUAAAGCAAAGUGAGAAAUGAAAGCGUACAUUCUCAUAGUCUUGUGUUUGUCUUCCUCUGCCCUAAUUGCCCUCAAAUGAGCUCUGAGAAGUUUGGCUAGGAGAAAAAAUGGCGGAGGGAGACUUCUGGAUGGGGGAAGAGUAGAGAGGAGACAAGAUUCACCUCAACUCUUCUUCUGUCUCUAAAAGAACCUAUGUUCCAUGUAACUGGGGAAGACCUGAGUGUAAACGAAUAGAACUAUUAUGGUCUCACCAAGUUUAGCCUUCUUGUAAGAAAGGCAUUCUGUCAGUCAGUGGUCACAUGCACAUGCCUAGCAAAAACCCAUGCAUGAAUGGGAUCCUAACAGAUAUAACAUGCUUGUCAUACAGACAGUUAAAUAAAAAUCAAAACAGUUGCAUACUAAAAAUUUAGCCUUUCUCCCUAGAUCUCAUUUUUGCAAAUCCUGGCUUCACUUUACAAAUAAUCUUGGCUGGCACAAUGGGAUAGAUAACCCACUGAUGUAGACUUGUUUGCUUCCCCUGCCCCCAGACUGAAUAAGAACAAUGUAUCCACUUCAAAACAGAAAUUCAGAAUGACUAUGUUUUCAAUCAAUGUCAUUUUAAUUUCCCCAACUAUUUGUUUUUACUUUGGUUGCUUACACAUGUCUGUUUUAAAACCUUGCAACUAACGUAACCUGAACAUAACUGAACAGGAAGCUUUCCUGCAUGCUGAAAUAACAUGCUACUUUCCUAUGUGUCAAUAUAAAUGACAGCUGGACAAAAGGACUUUUGUCCUCUUGUGCAGAUCCCAUUCAUUUCAAAAGCAAUCUGUCUGCAAGAUUGUGUCACAUUUCUUUCUGCACUCAAGGAAUCAUAACCAUGUGUCUCUAAGAAACAUGAUUACAUGCAUUUAAACACCACAUAUCUGUGGGAGGGAGGGAGGGAGAAGAAUAAUGUUUUCUAUUUAUGUUCCAGCAGAUUCAUGAGCUGAUUAUAUUAAAUUUAAAAUAACAGUUAUUUUUAUGGUCAAAUAUUUAAUAUAGUUAACAGCAUCUUUUAAAAAAAUUUAUAUAUGCAUUGCCUUGUUAAUUUCUUUCAUUUACUUAGUUUAUAGCCCAUCGUUUGAUCAUAAAGACAUUGAAGACAGCUAGUUGAUAAUAGCAUGCUUUGGGAUCUACCGUUUCUUCCAAGUUUCCAAAGCAAACCUUACUUCUGUCAGAGUAGAGGGCAACUCAGACAGGAUAAGCAAUUUUUUUGGACCGGUGGCCACAGUAAGCAGACACAGGGACUGUUGCAAUCCUUGCAAACUGUACAGCCAGUCACUGUUAAUGCAAUGCACGAAAAGGAGAAGAGCCAGGGACAGGGAGAUGGACUGGUGGUAGAGAGUUAGGAGGCAAUAACCCAGAAUGUUAAGAGUCUUCGGCGAAAUACUGUAGAACAGCAGUCACUUGUAACUUUUACAAAACUUGCUCUCAACGUAACAUAACAUAAAGGCACCAUUGAUAUCGUUCUCAUUUUUGAAAUACUGUAAAAAAUUGCUACAUAUGGCACAUAACACUUUUGUAUAUACAUUAUAUAUUUAAUUUAUAAAAGUUUUUUUCCUGUGGUUUUUUUUUUAAUCCUAAUAGCAGAACUGCUAAAAUAAAAUAAUUUUAAUUUAAAGGUGGAGUACUUCGUUAUAUAAAAUAAAGUUUUACAUGUGAAUCUAUGUGGGGUUUUAAAA